GCUUGGAUGGCUCAGUUGGUUAGAGCGCAGGUCUCAUACUUCUGUAUGACCGUCACUGACGGGCAAUCCUGAGGUCGUGAGUUCGACCCUCACUCCGAGCA
rnacentral:tRNA from 1 species